rnacentral:rRNA from 1 species
CAAUUGAAGGGUUUGAUCCUGGCUCAGAAUGAACGUUGGCGGCGUGGAUUAGGCAUGCAAGUCGCGCGAUAAGAUUCCUUCGGGGAUCCCAAAGCGGCGAAAGGGAGAGUAACGCGUAGUUAUCUACCCUGAGGACUGGGAUAGCGGCGGGAAACUGCCGGUAAUACCAGAUGAUAUCUCCGGAUCAAAGGUGUGAUUCCGCCUCAGGAUGAGACUGCGUCCUAUUAGCUAGUUGGUGAGGUAACGGCUCACCAAGGCGAAGAUGGGUACCGGGUGUGAGAGCAUGGCCCGGCUCACUGGGACUGAGACACUGCCCAGACACCUACGGGUGGCUGCAGUCGAGAAUCUUC